AUUGAACGCUGGCGGCAGGCCUAACACAUGCAAGUCUAACGAGUGGCGGACGGGUGAGUAAUGUCUGGGAAACUGCCCGUUGGAGGGGGAUAACUACUGGAAACGGUAGCUAAUACCGCAUACCAUCGUAUGUGCCCAGAUGGGAUUAGCUAGUAGGUGGGGUAAAGGCUCACCUAAGUGACGAUGCCUAGCUGGUCUGAGAGGAUGACCGGCCACACUGGAACUGAGACACGGUCGAGACUGGUGCGUGAAGCAGCAGUGGGGAAUAUUGAACAAUGGGCACAAUCCUGAUGGGGCCAUGCCGCGUGUAUGAAGAAGGCCUUCGGGUUGUAGAGUACUUUCAGCGGGGAGGCAUUACCCGCAGGAGAAGCACCGGCUAGCUCCGUGCCAGCAGCCGCGGUAAUUC
rnacentral:rRNA from 1 species